ACAUUGAGCCUUGAUGUGUAGGAUAGGUGGGAGGCUUUGAAGUGUGGACGCCAGUCUGCAUGGAGCCGGCCUUGAAAUACCACCCUUUAAUGUUUGAUGUUCUAACGUUGACCCGUGAUCCGGGUUGCGGACAGUGUCUGGUGGGUAGUUUGACUGGGGCGGUCUCCUCCUAAAGAGUAACGGAGGAGCACGAAGGUUGGCUAAUCCUGGUCGGACAUCAGGAGGUUAGUGCAAUGGCAUAAGCCAGCUUGACUGCGAGCGUGACGGCGCGAGCAGGUGCGAAAGCAGGUCAUAGUGAUCCGGUGGUUCUGAAUGGAAGGGCCAUCGCUCAACGGAUAAAAGGUACUCCGGGGAUAACAGGCUGAUACCGCCCAAGAGUUCAUAUCGACGGCGGUGUUUGGCACCUCGAUGUCGGCUCAUCACAUCCUGGGGCUGAAGUAGGUCCCAAGGGUAUGGCUGUUCGCCAUUUAAAGUGGUACGCGAGCUGGGUUUAGAACGUCGUGAGACAGUUCGGUCCCUAUCUGCCGUGGGCGCUGGAGAACUGAGGGGGGCUGCUCCUAGUACGAGAGGACCGGAGUGGACGCAUCACUGGUGUUCGGGUUGUCAUGCCAAUGGCACUGCCCGGUAGCUAAAUGCGGAAGAGAUAAGUGCUGAAAGCAUCUAAGCACGAAACUUGCCCCGAGAUGAGUUCUCCCUGACUCCUUGAGAGUCCUGAAGGAACGUUGAAGACGACGACGUUGAUAGGCCGGGUGUGUAAGCGCAGCGAUGCGUUGAGCUAACCGGUACUAAUGAACCGUGAGGCUUAACCUU
rnacentral:rRNA from 1 species